CAGAAGCAGCUGUUGUCUGUGGGUGUUGUGCUUUUUCUCAGAGCAAGCAGAGCAGAACCUGGCCACUCUUUAUUUGACUGAUGUAGUUGGCAAGCAGGAUAAGAUGGUGAUAGGUCUCCCAGUAGGGUCAGACAGCCAGGGAAGACCAGUCCACGGAGCUCAGGAUCAGAUGGUGACAGGGGUCUCAGCAGGGUCAGGCAACCAGGGAAGACCAGUCUGUGAUGGCACUAAGGUGAACUUUUGCAGAUG